AUAAUCAAAUAUUUACAAAACUGAGGGGUGUACUCACUUUUGUGAGAUACUGUAUAUUAGGUUAAUGUUCAUCGUGGACUGAGCUUUUUUUUAUUAGGCUGAAGUAUUUUGACAUAUUUAUGGAUAUGUUGUUAGGCUCAAUAAAGUUGUGGGUCCACCAGCCCCACAAACAUUGGGUGACAUGCAUUUUAUAUAUGUCUUUCUUGUCUUCUGGAAAGCACUUUGUUGGCUUGUGUAUGAAAAUGUGCUAUGCAAAUACAUUUGACUUGACUAACUAAAAUACUAACACCACGCAAGGGUUAAAUAUCACGACACUAUUCAGAUAUCCAGGAAACUUCAUUGAAACCUGCGCGUAAACGAAUUCAAGCGUAAAAAGUGGGGGGGGAAUUAUAUGAAUACAACAACCCUUGACGUUUGUGGUAAAGGUAAGGUAUUCUGAAUUUAUCCAGAAAGAUCGAGAAGUGGGCGUGGCUAGAACGAUUCUGCGCAGUGUUGCACGAUGGAAAGGUUCCCGCCGAAGAAGGCCUUUUGAAAAAUCCACUGUCUGAACGAGACAGUCAAACACAAUCAACGGUUCUGAAAGAUUAUAUGAAAGGAGAAUAUUGAAGAAAAUUGGAACUAAGGAGCUGUGGGCAGGCUACUAUUUGAAGGGCAGGAUGCAGAAUGCUGUCACAUAGGUGCUGCCCUGAAAGCCUACCCAAAGCCCACCUACCUAGAGGUAGAUGAAAAGAUUGCAGACACCCUCAAGCAUGCACCUGCUCGGCUGAAGAGUAAGAGAAAGGAGCAGAUUGGACAAGAUGUUGAGGAGGAGGGCACAGAUGAAGAACCAGCACCUGAAUAAAUUAGACUUUUUUUUUUUUAGCAGUACCAACUUUAGUGUGGUAGGAUAUUUUAGGUAUUGUUUAAAUAAAUUGCUCAAGCAGUACCAACAAGUUCAAUGAUUUAAGUCUUUAUUCACUGAGGUCAGGGGAGGUUCCAAUACACUGUAUACAAACCAUACAUGCAGAGGACUGAAUCAUUAACUAUAGUUUAACAUCCUUUCUCAUACCAUUUCUAGACAUUUGUUAUAACAUGAUUGGUUCAAAAUAUUUUGUAUACUCUGAUGAUUGUGACAACAAAAGAGAAAAAGAUUAGGAAUAGAAUUUCCAU